rnacentral:rRNA from 1 species
GACGAACGCUGGCGGCGUGCCUAAUACAUGCAAGUAGAACGCUGAAGGAGGAGCUUGCUCUUCUGGACGGAGUUGCGAACGGGUGAGUAACGCGUAGGUAACCUGCCUGGUAGCGGGGGAUAACUAUUGGAAACGAUAGCUAAUACCGCAUAAGAGUAGAUGUUGCAUGACAUUUGCUUAAAAGGUGCAAUUGCAUCACUACCAGAUGGACCUGCGUUGUAUUAGCUAGUUGGUGAGGUAACGGCUCACCAAGGCGACGAUACAUAGCCGACCUGAGAGGGUGAUCGGCCACACUGGGACUGAGACACGGCCCAGACUUCUACGGGAGGCAGCAGUAGGGAAUCUUCGGCAAUGGACGGAAGUCUGACCGAGCAACGCCGCGUGAGUGAAGAAGGUCUUCGGAUCGUAAAGCUCUGUUGUAAGAGAAGAACGAGUGUGAGAGUGGAAAGUUCACACUGUGACGUAUCUACCAGAAA